rnacentral:rRNA from 1 species
UACAGAGGGUGCGAGCGUUGUCCGGAAUUAUUGGGCGUAAAGAGCUCGUAGGCGGUUCGUCGCGUCGGCUGUGAAAACCUGAGGCUCAACCUCAGGCCUGCAGUCGAUACGGGCGGACUUGAGUACUGCAGGGGAGACUGGAAUUCCUGGUGUAGCGGUGAAAUGCGCAGAUAUCAGGAGGAACACCGGUGGCGAAGGCGGGACUCUGGGCCGAUACUGACGCUGAGGAGCGAAAGCGUGGGGAGCGAACAGG